GUUCUCAUGGCGUAGUGGUAACGCGCCCCAACUAGAGAUCGGGGAGUCGUGAGUUCGAUUCUCACUGAGAAGA
rnacentral:tRNA from 1 species